AUUGAACGCUGGCGGCAGGCCUAACACAUGCAAGUCGAACGAGUGGCGGACGGGUGAGUAAUGUCUGGGAAACUGCCUGAUGGAGGGGGAUAACUACUGGAAACGGUAGCUAAUACCGCACACUAUCGGAUGUGCCCAGAUGGGAUUAGCUAGUAGGUGGGGUAAAGGGUCACCUAGGCGACGAUCCCUAGCUGGUCUGAGAGGAUGACCAGCCACACUGAGACUGGGACACGGUCCAGAGUCCUACGGGAGGCAGCAGUGGGGAAUAUUGCACAAGGGGCGCAAGCCUUAUGCAGCCAUGCCGCUGGUAUGAAGAAGGCCUUCGGGUUGUAAAGUACUUUCAGCGGGGAGGCGUUACCCGCAGAAGAAGCACCGGCUAACUCCGUGCCAGCAGCCGCGGUAAUUC
rnacentral:rRNA from 1 species